AUUGUGAUUUUCAAUACAGGCGGUUCAAAAGAAUAAGAUGGUUAUGAGUUAGCAGCGUUUCUUAGCCUUGAGAUGAAGCUUUAUUUGUAACUCGCAUGAAUUACAUCCGCAUGUUGUUUGGACCAUGCUUGUUUCCUUUAUCAGGUGUUUGUCAAUGUCUCAUGGAAAGUUGUUGGCUCGAUCAUGUUAUUUGAAACAUUUCUGCUUCAUUAUCUCUUCCAGAAUCUUUUCCACCUGUGUCAGUGGAAGAAGAUUAAGGUUAUCACUGUAAAAAAUGUUAGUUAUAGGAUUCUUUGGAGUUGUGUAAUUUCCUGAGACAGAUUCCAAUUCUUUCUUAAAAUGAUUUUCAUUGUGGAAAGUUACAAGGUCUCAUAGCAAUGUUUCUCAAUUUAUUCUUUGCAGCCUGUACCUCUGAACGGUGGUGUGGUGCUUCCAUGAUCUAUAUUUUUUAGGCAUCCCCUCCUUUCUGCAAGUUUUUCUCUCCUGCUGGAUAAUGAAAUUACUUUGUUGUGAUGUUAUCUAAAUGAACUUUGCUUGACUAUAGUUGAAUUUUUUUUCUUUUUUGGUUCAUCUGCUUUCUUUGCAGGAAUCAAGCUAAACUAGUAGUUCUUCUUACCCCAAAUUUGUAGUUAGCUAUGCUGCUAGUUCUUCUGCCUUUGAUAUUUCAACUAGCCAAAUGAGUGGUCCUCUAAUGAAAUCGAUUUUUUUGGUACUAGAAUCACAAAUCAUGCACCUGCUGCAUCUGGUUUUGUAUCUGGAACACCUUAAUAUGCUCGUUGCAACAAUUCUUUUGGAUUUUCAGGUGUCAAUAAAACUGGUUUUGAUAUUUCAACUUCAACAACUACUCUCUCAAAUCCAGUCUCCUGUCAACCAACGAUAGCAUCACUGCAUCAGCAUCUGGGUCUUUUAAGUGUUCCCGGUGUUUGGUGUUUCAAGCAGUCUUUCUCAUGGCUUUUUUCCAGGUUGAAUAUUUCCCAGUAGCUCACUACUCCUGCUUUUGGGGCUUUAAGUGCUCCAAAUAUCUGGUGCGUCAAGUACCACUCGCUCAACUCCUGUUAUCUGUCGGCCUAUGUCUGCAUUUGAUUUUGGGGCUUCAAGUCCUCUAUCUUCUAUCGCACCAAGUACUCGUGGGUCCUGCAUUUCAAGCACUCCAGCAUUUGGUAGCAUUCUGCUUUUUGGUUGUUGAUCAAGGACUCUAUUAUCAUGUAGUGCUACAUCAUUUGGUCGUUCAAGCACUCAAACAUGUGGUCAUUCAGGAGCAUUUGAAAGCCAUGGUUUUGGAGCUGGACAACAUGAAGGGAGUAGAGUAGCAGCUUAUAUUCAAACUGCAGCAGAAUUUGAUAGGAAUCAUACAAAAUCUGCUGGAAACCAUCUGUGCAUAACAGCCAUGCCCAUUUACAAGGACAAGAGUUUGGAAGAAUUAAGAUGGGAGGACCACAAAUUGGGGGAUAAAGCUGUGCUAGUCUUUCUUAUAUGGUUCUUCUUAAAGGUGCAAUGACAUCUUCAUCAACUGUGCCUUGCAUGCAUAAAGCUUCCUCUGCCCUGCAAUGGGAUAAAAUUCCUUUCCAGUUCAACCCGCCACUGUAUCUUUGAGUUUGCCUAUGUUUGGAUUUUUGCCUUCCAUCUGGUUCAUGGAUCAGCCCCAGCAGCAGCUCUGGCCUUUGUCUCCUGUUUAAAUGCAUUGAACAACCAAUCAUUGCCAGUAUCUCAGUUCGCUGUACUUAUACCCUCUUUUCAGCAGACAAAUGCAGCUGCUGGACAGUGUACUUUAUCUGGGCAUGGUAUUACGCAAUUUCAUUCAAACACGUUGUGUGCGCCAAUAUCACCUGGAUUUGGGCAGGUGGCGUUUACAGGCAUGCUGCUGUUUCUUAAUGGUUAUGGCCAGGGUACUGUAAGUUAAAGUCACUCACAAAACUCGAAAAUUUUUUAGCUUUUACAUAUGGACUCAUAUAGCCAGAUUGGCUUUAAGAUUGAAAUGGGGAAAAAAAAUGUUUAGCACUGAGAAAUGGAUAGAAGAAGCAAUUUGAAGUGUUGAAA